CCAGGGACUGCUAGCCUCGGGAGGCCCCAAGGGAGAGGUCUACCUAACAAUGUGAAGCCACUGAGCCUCCGAGCCUGGGGACCUGAUUGGGGGCAUGUGAGGGACAGGCCUGGGGCCAAGGUGCGGCACACAACCCUCCAAGGCAAUGCUGUAGAAAGCAUAAAAUGGACUUGAGAAACAACAGCCAAACACACGUGUGCCACCUAUUUUGACAACUCACACCAACCGUAAAACCAUCGUUUGAGAAAAUCAGGGAAGUGUGACUUUGGGCCGCACCGAUUUUAUUACACGAUGCGAAGGAAUCAGUGUUACCUGUCCCUGCCGUGUGAUUAGUUUUUGUUUGUUUUUCAAAGCCCUAAUCUGUUAGAGAUAUAGAUUGGAUUAUUUAUCUGUAAAAUAAAAUGUUUGGGAUCAGUUUCAAAAAUUCCAUGAGAAUAAAGUAAGCAGAGAAGAGAGGGAAUCUCAGCAUCUGUGGAGAAGGUUCCUGCAGUGGUCCUGUCCCUCCCACGUCACCACGUCCUCACACAGAACGUCAUCCACAACUGUAUCGUAUUAAGCUACGGUGACAGAGGCCUAUCUCAGAGACACAGCGGGUUUAGCUCCAGGCCGCCAACGGUCGCUCAGACUGGUUUCCCAGUGCGUGUCGGGGUCAUGUUCACACUGCAGUCUAUGAAGUGCAUGAUGCCGGACACGACACAGGGACACGUGAGCCCACAAGGUUAGAAACGGCACCAAGAGACACAGGCUGCCACAGGUCCCUUGUGUGCAAAAUCUGCACCAUCUGCAAUCAAAUGGGGCACGGCAGCAUUUUACAAUUAUUUCUGCCUUUCUCCUGCAUCAGACACUGAGGUCCAGAGGCUGAGAGCCCUCGGGCCCAGCACCUGGCACAGCGCCUGGACACAGGAGGCCCUCCAGCAACAUUUGUUGAAUGAAUGAAGACUGACUUCCAGACGAGGUCACUUCAGAAUCCUUGACCGGUUUGAUAAGUAAACAUAAUACGCCUGCCCUGGCAGAGGCCUCGUCCGCUAUGGCUGUCCCCUGCGGUACUCACAAACCACAAAGACACUCCCUUCGCUUUCAAACGGCUCGUGACCAGGGAGAUGCAGAGAACCAGCAGGGCGUGCUGGGACAGAGAAUGGCCUGCAUGUGUGGAUAGGAAAGUGUCUCUGUGGAGAGGACACUGGGGCUGCACUUCAGAGGUGAGGAAGACCCAGGAAAACAGGAGAAAACAGAUCCUACAAAGACCUUCAGUAAUGAAUACGGGUACCUGAGAACUUUCUCAGCAUGGACCACGGCGGAUGCGGACUGAACUACCAAAGCCCACAAGCUGGGUCCAGUGAGCUCCCAAAUCACCAGUGAUGAUGUCACCAAAGUCGUCCUGCCCUAAAGGGGGCUGCAAGAAGGCCCUCUUCCCUCGGAACCCCACUGUGUCAUGAACUGAAGGCACUACCUGUGGGACUUUGGCUUUGGGAAACCAGCUUCAGGACUUAGCACAUUUCACUGUAAGGUAUGCCCGAGGGGAGAGACCUGACCGCCAGCAACCUGCAAGAAGUGGGGACUGGGCUGAUGUGGACUUCUAGUGAGUCCGAGACCUGGGACACAAUGGUGAGGGAAAUCAGACAUGGGGGACUGUCAUGUCCACCAUGCAGUAAAUCUUUAUUGUCUUAGUGCUCAUUAUACACUAUUUUAAUUGCAGCAGGUGUAACAUCAAAGCAUACCACAUAAUGAUAACAUGCAUGAGUGAUUAGUCUAUUUUCUUACUAUUAUCUA